UUUUCUUUUUUCUUUCUUUCUUUUUCUUUCUUUCUUUCUUUCUUUCUUUCUUUCUUUCUUCUUUCUUUCUUUCUUUUUUUUUUUUUUUUUUUGUCCUGAAAAGUCUGCCUCAAUAGAUUUCAUUUAUACAGCAGUUUGGGACUAAAAUAGUUACUACUACUACUACUAAUAAUAAUAAUUACAUAAAAUAAACAGUUACUAUUCAAAGGGACUUUUUUAAAUUUCUUUUUUUUUUUAGGUACAGUGCAUUCUUGAAACAAAAUUAUUUUAAACCGAGAGAAUGUAAUUAUGGAAAGAAUUUCUUUCCAUUUUACUAAUUAGUCUCAAACAAAAUAUUUUUAAAAAAUCCUCUAAAAUAGAACCAACAGCUAGCUUCCUUUUUCACCGAUGAGAUAUUUAUAAUCUGAAUUUGGCUUGACAGGAGGUAAUAAACCCAUAUUAGAUUCCAAUGACAAUCUUUGUGUGGUGGUUUUGGGAUCCAACUGUAUUUCUAGACAGGGUUUCUCUGCCUGAUUUCCCAGUAGGUAAUACUUUCCUACAGGAGACCCCGUUCCUUCACUGCUAUUUGCAUAUGGUACUCUCUCCUGCCACAUUAAAAAGAUUUAAUGUUUUUGUUUUACGUCACUCCCUUUCUUGUGCAUAGUUUUGUAAUGACUAAUGAAAUGAAGUUUAAUUUUAUCAUCUGGAAAAGCCUGCCAGCUUCUUGCGCCUUUUCCAGAAAGAACAGAAGAAAUGAUGUAAUAAUUUCAGGAUCAUAAAGAAUAAGGUUUAAUGCCACAUUUUUGUCCAUCAAGCUGGGCCAACAGGGAAACAGUCAGUUGCAAUGUAGCGAACCCCACGAUUAAUAAUAACCAAGACUCUGCUUAUUUUUGAUAACACAGCGCUGAGGCAAGGAGUCUGCAUGGCAGGCAGCGAUGAUGGUGUCAAAAGAUCUUCCUAGUGAUGACUUAGCGCAACAACACUGCUUUCUAUAGUUCUACUCAGGUUCCGUCUUCUGACGUGAAAACCCAUUCUUCCUCUACAUGUUCAUCAGGCUCUUCCCUAUUACUGAAGAUUUCUGUUCCCCAGCUCGGUCAAGUCCCCACCACUAAAGUUAACUGAGUGCUGAGGCAAAGCCAAACUUCCAGCAGCAGAUGGGACAACUGCACUGAUCUUUUCUGGAGAUCUUUUGAUCUUUUUUGAUCUUUUUUUGCACCUAUUCUUCAAACCUCCACUGGAUCCUCGGGCACUACUGUUCUUUUUUUAAACAUCAUAUAGUUCCUUGAACACUAUCAUUCUGGAUAUAUUUUCCACUGGAGACUCACUCUCUCCCCUGCAUUUUAAAAUGUAUCCCUUCCUGGGACACCUGGGUGGCUCCGUGGUUGAGCGUCUGCCUUCAGCUCAGGGUGUGAUUCCGGGGUCCUGGGAUUGCGUCCCGCAUUCGGCUCCCCGCAGGAAGCCUGCUUCCCCCUCUGCCUAUGUCUUUGCCUUUCUCUCUGUGUCUCUCAUGAGUAAAGAAAUAAAAAAAUCUUAAAAAAAAAA
rnacentral:lncRNA from 1 species